rnacentral:rRNA from 1 species
UACGUAGGGUGCAAGCGUUGUCCGAAAUUAUUGGGCGUAAAGAGCUCGUAGGCGGUUUGUCGCGUCUGCUGUGAAAUCCCGAGGCUCAACCUCGGGCCUGCAGUGGGUACGGGCAGACUUGAGUGGUGUAGGGGAGACUGGAAUUCCUGGUGUAGCGGUGGAAUGCGCAGAUAUCAGGAGGAACACCGAUGGCGAAGGCAGGUCUCUGGGCACUUACUGACGCUGAGGAGCGAAAGCGUGGGGAGCGAACAGG